UAAAAUUCCUCAACCAACUCCAUUCAUUACUUUAGUGCGCGAAGAUAAAAGAGAAGAAGAAAACUACAAAUAGCUCGCCAAAUUCAAGCAACUAAAACUGAAAACUAAAUUCUAAAUGCCCCUCCAUUACAAAUUUCCAUUACAAAUUUCCACUAUAGAAUCAUUUACCUAUGCCAUUCAUCAUCAUCAUCAUCCCAAAUGGGAGAAUUAUUCCUUCCAUAUGGCUGUUCAAAACUUUUCACAUAUUCGGUAACGUAAUUACUGUGCUAGCCACCACACAGUGAAUGGUCCGAUUUAAAGAUGGCAUUGGGCCUGUGAUUCAAUAACUGUAAAGCAGGAAGAUAGGAACUGACAACAAUUGGACUGGUCACAUGGAAUGUUUUUCAAAAAAGGAAGGCAAUAAUACACCGAUCAGAGGCAAUGUUUUUGCACCAGAAGUGAUGGGGACAUGCUCAGAUUUAAGAGAGAAAAUUCUAUUAUCAGCAUCAUUCGACAAAAUACAACAUUAUUUACAUGCACAUUAUGAGAAUCAAAACUAACAAUUCAUUAGACCAAUGAUCACAAGCUUUUUUACGUACCAAGUUCCUUAGACCCUUGCCAUUUCAUUAACGGAUGCAUUUCUGACUUUACUGGAACCUUUCUUCUUAAGUUUGUUUCGGAAGCUCCUUUUUCUGCUAAACGCCGACUCCACAGGGCGACCCAGUUUCUUCGCUUGACGAAUUGCAUCAACAAGAUCUCGAUUGGAUUCAGUGUGCAGGCUAGUGACAAGUCCAUAUUGACCAGCUCGAGCUGUGCGGCCAACCCUAUGCAAGAAAUCUACAGCAGAUGUGGCAAAGUCUGCCUGGAUAACAUGUGACACAUUUGGAACAUCAACUCCACGUGCAGCAGCAUCAGUGCACACAAAAACUCCCCCUUUUUCUAGGAAAUCAACUAAUGUCUUUGCACGUUCCUCCAAAGAAAUGUCUUUAUGGUAGCAAUAGCAUUUAAUCCCAGCUCUCUCCAAUAUUUUAGCAACUGCUUCAACAGCAUCAACAGUGUUUGCAAAAAUCAUAGUUCGACUAACACCAACAUCAGAUCUAGAUCCUUGGUUCACAGCAUCUAUAAGUGCAUCCACCUGGGUAUCAACCGCAACUUCAACCCACUUCUGUUCCAAUCUGGGGUUGUGACAGUGAAGAUAGUUUCCACUAAUCCAAUUGGCAUCUGGAAACAUCCGUUUCAACACUGCUCCAGCAGUUUUUUUACCAUUAACUGGAAGGGUGGCUGCAACAAAAAUGUACUGUUUACUGCGUAUGUAAUCUUUUCUCACUCUCCUCCAGUCUUUUCUGUUGAUGGACCCAGCUUCACUUUCCUCUUUUAAGUCCUCAACUUCAUUAUCACCUUCAAAGUCUUCAUCCUCUGCUAAGAUAGAUUCAUUUUGGGGUUCACCAUCUUCCAAGCCACACUCUCCUGGAGAAUCAGAACCUAAUUCUGCAGUAUUUUCAAGUUCACAUUUACUUACUUGAGACAACUGCUUCUCAUCAAAACGAAGCAUGUUUAUGAGACGGAUAACCUGAUUCUGGAAGCUCCCACAGAGAAGCAUGUCUGCUUCAUCGAACACCACAUAUUUCACACCACGAACAAAAUUCAAUUUUCGCUGUUUUUUUGGGUCAAUAUUAUUAAGAAGAGCAGCUGGCGUUGACACAAUAAUGUCUGGUUGAUUAACUGGCCAUCCCUGUCGGCCACAGACAGCCGUGACUUUGAGAAGUGGUUCACCAUUAUCAUCACAAAGACCACAAGCCAUUCGAACCACUUGUUCACACAACAACACAUUUGGACAAAGAACUAGAGAAAUUCUAUGGGAAGGCAUCAAUCCUUGAUCAGAAUCAUAAUCUUUGAGAUGAUCCGGUGGAUUACAUAACUUGUCAAUUAAGGGAACAAGGUAUGCAUGCGUUUUACCACUACCAGUCUCCGCUGCUACUACCACAUCCUUUCCUGAAAGUAUUGAUGGUAUAGAGGCAGCCUGAACUAGAGACGGUCUUUCGAGACCAGCAUUAGAGAUGGCUCGACAGAGGCGAUCAGACAAACCGAGAGAAGCCCACGAAACACCUUCGUCUGCAAAGAACGUGUCGUUUCCCCCCUUAUCAGAGACAACAGCUGCAGCAGCAGUAGAAAAACGCCUAUUACCUCUUCUGUAUGACUGAUUGAGCCAAAACAAGCGGAUUCUCAACGAAUAAGUUGGAGAAGAUAAGGAUGAUAGAGGGGAACUAGAGAGGUAUGAAUAGGAGUGCUUCAACCGCUGGAGGAGCAAUUUAGGCGGCGACGAUAGUUUGUAGAAAUGGAGCAUUGAAGCAGAGCGAUAGACGAGCAUUUGUGCUGUAAUCAGAGGCAUCUGGCAG
rnacentral:misc_RNA from 1 species